rnacentral:rRNA from 1 species
GUAGGUGGCAAGCGUUGUCCGGAAUUAUUGGGCGUAAAGCGCGCGCAGGCGGUUCUUUAAGUCUGAUGUGAAAGCCCACGGCUCAACCGUGGAGGGUCAUUGGAAACUGGAGAACUUGAGUACAGAAGAGGAAAGCGGAAUUCCACGUGUAGCGGUGAAAUGCGUAGAGAUGUGGAGGAACACCAGUGGCGAAGGCGGCUUUCUGGUCUGUAACUGACGCUGAGGCGCGAAAGCGUGGGGAGCAAACAGGAUUAGAUACCCUGGUAGUCCACGCCGUAAACGAUGAGUGCUAAGUGUUAGGGGGUUUCCGCCCCCCUUAGUGCUGCAGCUAACGCAUUAAGCACCCCCGCCUGGGGAUACGACCGCAAGGUUG